rnacentral:rRNA from 1 species
AUGAACGCUGGCGGCGUGCCUAAUACAUGCAAGUCGAGCGAACAGAUGAGGAGCUUGCUCCUCUGACGUUAGCGGCGGACGGGUGAGUAACACGUGGAUAACCUACCUAUAAGACUGGGAUAACUUCGGGAAACCGGAGCUAAUACCGGAUGAUAUAUUGAACCGCAUGGUUCAAUAGUGAAAGACGGUUUUGCUGUCACUUAUAGAUGGAUCCGCGCCGCAUUAGCUAGUUGGUAAGGUAACGGCUUACCAAGGCAACGAUGCGUAGCCGACCUGAGAGGGUGAUCGGCCACACUGGAACUGAGACACGGUCCAGACUCCUACGGGAGGCAGCAGUAGGGAAUCUUCCGCAAUGGGCGAAAGCCUGACGGAGCAACGCCGCGUGAGUGAUGAAGGUCUUCGGAUCGUAAAACUCUGUUAUUAGGGAAGAACAAAUGUGUAAGUAACUAUGCACGUCUUGACGGUACCUAAUCAGAAAGCCACGGCUAACUACGUG